rnacentral:piRNA from 1 species
UUGUUCUUUCUUGAGGCUAUGGCCGC